rnacentral:tRNA from 1 species
CGAAAGAUGGCUGAGAGAUAAGCGAAGGAUUGUAGCUCUUUUUACGGAUUUUUCCUCUUUUGA